GCCGGGUGUGGUGGCGCGUGCCUGUAGUCCCAGCUACUUGGGAGGCUGAGGUGGGAGGAUUGCUUGAGCCCAGGAGUUCUGGGCUGUAGUGCGCUAUGCCAUUUGGGUAUCUGCACUAAAUUAGGCAUCAAUAUGGUGACCUCCUGGGAGUAGGGGACCACCAGGUUGCCUAAGGAGGGGUGAACUGGCCCAGGUUGGAAACGGAGCAGGUCAAAACUCCCGUGCUGAUCAAUAGUGGGAUCGUGCCUGUGAAUAGCCACCGCACUCCAGCCUGAGCAACAUAGCGAGGCUCCGUCUCU
rnacentral:SRP_RNA from 1 species